CUCCUAGUCACCCCUGUCCCCUGAAGGCCUGUCACCUGAAGACAUCUCCACCAGAGUGACAGCUCUAGCCCUAGAUGGCCUGGGGCCUCUCCCCAGGGGUUGUUUGCAGGAUGAGGUGGAUCACCUACAGGCUCUGGAAACUAGGAUGCCCAGGCUAGCCUUUCAGCGAGGCUCUUCAGGCCGAGCAAACAAUUGUUUGAUCUUCAUCUCAUAAGCAGGGGUCCUGAAUCCUGAUCCUCCCAGGCAGGGCGCUGUUUUGCUAUGUAGUCCAGAAUAGCAUCAAAUUCGUGGCUCUCUUCCUGUCUCAGCCUCCAGAAAGCACAUCGCUUCACAGUGAGUUUCAAAGAGGUUGAGGGCAAAGAAACUCGGACCUUUGGGCAGGCUGCUCUGCCCAUUCCUCUCUCCAGGCCUGGCUGGCUCUACCAAUCUUUGAGGCCCUGAGAAGAGCACGGGUGUCGCCUCCCACUCCUCCUGACAGCCGGCAAUGAUCCAGUCACAGGGAGCCAUCCAUCAGUGUCGGGGGAAAAGAGUGGCCCUAAGGAUCCUUUCCCGCACACUCUUGGAAGCUGCUGGGUGCCUUAGGGCACCGAGGGGCAAGACAAGGAAGGAUGCCAGGGGUGGGCAGACUCGGGAAGGCAAGCCCUGGCUCAGAACUGCGGACGCCCUUCCCGAAAUCCCUCAGGCUCCGGCCAGUGGCCACGAUGAUGAGGCUCUCAUCUCGGAAAAGCUGGUGCAGCGGCCAGGGCUCCGGGCUGCCAGCCAGGCCUGCUGUCUAGGCGGCUCCACCUGGAUGCAGAAAGCGAGGGGGGCAGGG
ensembl:processed_transcript Gm11523 predicted gene 11523